GAUGAACGCUAGCUACAGGCUUAACACAUGCAAGUCGCGGGGCAGCAUUUUCCUAGCUUGCUAGGGAAGAUGGCGACCGGCGCACGGGUGAGUAACGCGUAUCCAACCUUCCCAUGUCCACGGGAUAGCCCGUCGAAAGGCGGAUUAAUACCGUAUGAGGUCACAUGCGGGCAUCUAAAUGUGACGAAAGGUUUAGCGGACAUGGAUGGGGAUGCGUCCGAUUAGCUAGUUGGCGGGGUAACGGCCCACCAAGGCGACGAUCGGUAGGGGUUCUGAGAGGAAGGUCCCCCCACAUUGGAACUGAGACACGGUCCAAACUCCUACGGGAGGCAGGCAGUGAGGAAUAUUGGUCAAUGGACGGGAGUCUGAACCAGCCAAGUAGCGUGCAGGAUGACGGCCCUAUGGGUUGUAAACUGCUUUUAUAGGGGGAUAAAGUGUGCACGUGUGGCAUAUUGCAGGUACCCUAUGAAUAGGACGGCUAAUUCCCGUG
rnacentral:rRNA from 1 species